GGGGGGGGGGGGGGGGGGGGGGGGGGGGGGCGGGGCGGGCGAAGAGACGAGGAGCUUGCGCCUCGGACGUUAGCGGCGGACGGGUGAGUAACACGUGGAUAACCUACCUAUAAGACUGGGAUAACUUCGGGAAACCGGAGCUAAUACCGGAUAAUAUAUUGAACCGCAUGGUUCAAUAGUGAAAGACGGUUUUGCUGUCACUUAUAGAUGGAUCCGCGCCGCAUUAGCUAGUUGGUAAGGUAACGGCUUACCAAGGCAACGAUGCGUAGCCGACCUGAGAGGGUGAUCGGCCACACUGGAACUGAGACACGGUCCAGACUCCUACGGGAGGCAGCAGUAGGGAAUCUUCCGCAAUGGGCGAAAGCCUGACGGAGCAACGCCGCGUGAGUGAUGAAGGUCUUCGGAUCGUAAAACUCUGUUAUUAGGGAAGAACAAAUGUGUAAGUAACUAUGCACGUCUUGACGGUACCUAAUCAGAAAGCCACGGCUAACUACGUG
rnacentral:rRNA from 1 species